AGGAAAAUAACUCAAUGGUAGAGUAGUCGUUUUACACACGAAUAGUUGGGAGUUCAAAUCUCUCUUUUCCUA
rfam:Lasallia pustulata genome assembly, contig: scaffold26768_size938